rnacentral:rRNA from 1 species
GACGAACGCUGGCGGCGUGCCUAAUACAUGCAAGUAGAACGCUGAAGGAGGAGCUUGCUUCUCUGGAUGAGUUGCGAACGGGUGAGUAACGCGUAGGUAACCUGCCUGGUAGCGGGGGAUAACUAUUGGAAACGAUAGCUAAUACCGCAUAAGAGUAGAUGUUGCAUGACAUUUGCUUAAAAGGUGCAAUUGCAUCACUACCAGAUGGACCUGCGUUGUAUUAGCUAGUUGGUGGGGUAACGGCUCACCAAGGCGACGAUACAUAGCCGACCUGAGAGGGUGAUCGGCCACACUGGGACUGAGACACGGCCCAGACUCCUACGGGAGGCAGCAGUAGGGAAUCCUCGGCAAUGGACGGAAGUCUGACCGAGCAACGCCGCGUGAGUGAAGAAGGUUUUCGGAUCGUAAAGCUCUGUUGUAAGAGAAGAAACGAGUGUGAGAGUGGAAAAGUUCCACCACUG